AAUUUUACGAGUAGUUCGCAAAACAUUUCUAUCUGCUCAGAUUUUUUCAUUUAUUCGCUUGUUCAUGCCUUUUGUAGCUUCCUCGGCUUUGCACACUUUUAGGUCAUCAUCAUUCGCUCGGCCUUCGGUUGUGUGCGCUCGCAUAAUUAAAAAUGUACACACGUGUGCUGACAUGGAGACCACGUGUUGGCUCUAGGACCUGCUAAGGGGUGAGGCUAAAGGGGUUUUUUUCCCAGUUAAUAUUUACCUGAAACUCAGCAGCCCCAGCAGCCCAGCAUCUCUGGAGCUCUGGAGAGAAAGCUAAAACCUUCACAGCAUCAUUAUUACACGUGGCGUAUACUUAAUAGUACAAAAAAAGUUUACCUCAACCUACAAAAUCGCGAAAUAAAACAGUUGUAUUGUCGUAGCUGAACUUAAAUAUAAAUAUGGUAAAAGGGGUGAACUUGGUAAAAGGGGUGAAAGAUUUAUAAUUAGUUUUUUAAUUAUAAUUAAGUUUAUAUUGAAGCAUAAAAUUCGAUAAAUUACACAUAUAUAAUGCUAUAAUGCCUCUGUAUUUUGAAAUAAGCUUUUAUUUCAUCAAAACGAAAAUAUUGGAAAGAAAAAUAAAAAGUUACUUAUAAGUAUAGUUUAAUAGCUUUAAAAUUUAUAUGAAUUCAUUGCUUAUUUUCUAUGUAAAUAUUAUUUCCAUUUGUAGGCAUUUGUUUCUCUGGUGAUCCUGGGCGAAGCCAUUUCAAAACUGUGUUCUUUACACAGUUGAUGCACAGAACUGAUUCACUAGGCACUAGUAUACUGAUCACUAAGAACAGAAGCAGUCCUAAAUUCAAAAUAAGA